rfam:Alphaproteobacteria bacterium 13_2_20CM_2_64_7 13_2_20cm_2_scaffold_15250, whole genome shotgun sequence.
GUCCCCGUAGCUCAGCUGGAUAGCAGCAGCGGAUUUCUAAUCCGCAGGUCGCAGGUUCGAGUCCUGCCGGGGACG